rnacentral:rRNA from 1 species
UUUAAAGAGAGUUUGAUCCUGGCUCAGGACGAACGCUGGCGGCGUGCCUAAUACAUGCAAGUCGAACGAACGGAGGAAGAGCUUGCUCUUCCAAUGUUAGUGGCGGACGGGUGAGUAACACGUGGGCAACCUGCCUGUAAGUUGGGGAUAACUCCGGGAAACCGGGGCUAAUACCGAAUGAUAAGAUGUGGCGCAUGCCACGCCUUUGAAAGAUGGUUUCGGCUAUCGCUUACAGAUGGGCCCGCGGUGCAUUAGCUAGUUGGUAGGGUAAUGGCCUACCAAGGCAACGAUGCAUAGCCGACCUGAGAGGGUGAUCGGCCACACUGGGACUGAGACACGGCCCAGACUCCUACGGGAGGCAGCAGUAGGGAAUCUUCCGCAAUGGACGAAAGUCUGACGGAGCAACGCCGCGUGUAUGAAGAAGGUUUUCGGAUCGUAAAGUACUGUUGUUAGAGAAGAACAAGGAUAAGAGUAACUGCUUGUCCCUUGACGGUAUCUAACCAGAAAGCCACGGCUAACUACGUGCCAGCAGCCGCGGUAAUACGUAGGUGGCAAGCGUUGUCCGGAUUUAUUGGGCGUAAAGCGCGCGCAGGCGGUCUUUUAAGUCUGAUGUGAAAGCCCCCGGCUUAACCGGGGAGGGUCAUUGGAAACUGGAAGACUGGAGUGCAGAAGAGGAGAGUGGAAUUCCACGUGUAGCGGUGAAAUGCGUAGAUAUGUGGAGGAACACCAGUGGCGAAGGCGACUCUCUGGUCUGUAACUGACGCUGAGGCGCGAAAGCGUGGGGAGCAAACAGGAUUAGAUACCC